AUACGGAGGAUGCGAGCGUUAUCCGGAUUUAUUGGGUUUAAAGGGUGCGUAGGCUGUUGUGUAAGUCAGGGGUGAAAUGCCGUCGCUUAACGACGGAGCUGCCUUUGAUACUGCAUGGCUGGAGUGCGGAUGCCGUUGGAGGAAUGAGUGGUGUAGCGGUGAAAUGCUUAGAUAUCACGAAGAACUCCGAUUGCGAAGGCAGCCUGCUGGACUGUAACUGACGCUGAUGCUCGAAAGUGUGGGUAUCAAACAGGAUUAGAUACCCUGGUAGUCCACACAGUAAACGAUGAAUACUCGCUGUUUGCGAUAUACAGUAAGCGGCCAAGCGAAAGCGUUAAGUAUUCCACCUGGGGAGUACGCCGGCAACGGUGAAACUUAAAGGAAUUGACGGGG
rnacentral:rRNA from 1 species